GUAGGGAAUAUUGCACAAUGGAGGAAACUCUGAUGCAGCGACGCCGCGUGAGUGAUGAAGGCCUUCGGGUCGUAAAGCUCUGUCGCAGGGGAAUAACACAAUGAAGGUACCCUGUAAGAAAGGAUCGGCUAACUUCGUGCCAGCAGCCGCGGUAAGACGAGGGAUCCUAGCGGUGUUCGGAAUCAAUGGGCGUAAAGCGGAUGUAGGUGGCUAUGUAAGUCAGAUGUGAAUGUGAUACUGCGUAGCUUGAGUGUCGGAGAGGUUACUAGAGUUGUUGGUGUAGUGGUGAAAUAAGUAGAUAUCAACAGGAAAACCGGAGGCGAAUGCGGGUAACUGGCCGAACACUGACACUGAGAUCCGAAAGCGUGGGGAUCAAACAGGAUUAGAAACCCCUGUAGUCC
rnacentral:rRNA from 1 species